rnacentral:rRNA from 1 species
GAGUUGAUCCUGGCUCAAGAUGAACGCUAGCGGCAGGUUUAACACAUGAAAGUUGACGGGUAUUGGUUUUCGGACCCUCAGACCGGCGCACGGGUGCGUAACGCGUAUGCAAUCUACCUUUCACAGAGGGAUAGCCCCAAGAAAUUUGGAUUAAUACCUCGUAGGUUUCUAGAAUGGCAUCCUUUUAUGAGUAAAGUCACAACGGUGAAAGAUGAACAUGCGUCCCAUUACCUGGUUGGCAAGGCAACUGCUUACCCAGGGAACGACGGGUAGGGGGCCUGAGAGGGAGAUCCCCCACACUGGUACUGAGACGCCAUCCCCACUCCCUGAGGAGGCAGCAGUGAGGAAUAUUGGUCAAUGGACGCAAGUCUGAACCAGGCCAUGCCGCGUGCAGGAUGACGGUCCUAUGGAUUGUAAACUGCUUUUGUACGAGAAGAAACAACAUUACGUGUAAUGUCUUGACGGUAUCUUAAGAAUAAGGAUCGGCUAACUCCGUGCCGCAGCCGCGGUUAUACGGAGGAUCCAAGCGUUAUCCGGAAUCAUUGGGUUUAAAGGGUCCGUAGGCGGUUUAAAAGUCACUGGUGAAAGCCCAUCGCUCAACGGUGGAACGGCCAUUGAUACUGCUAGACUUGAAUUAUUAGGAAGUACUAGAAUAUGUAGUGUAGCGGUGAAAUGCUUAGAGAUUACAUGGAAUACCAAUGCGAAGGCAGGUUACUACUAAUUGAUUGACCCUGAUGGACGAAAGCCUGGGUAGCGACAGGAUUAGAUAUCCUGGUAGUCCACGCGUAAACAAUGGAUACUAGCUGUUGGGGGCACUUCAUGGCUAACGAAAGUGAUAGUAUCCUACCUGGGGAGUACGUUCUCAAAAUGAAAUCCA